AUUGAACGCUGGCGGCAGGCCUAACACAUGCAAGUCGAACGAGUGGCGGACGGGUGAGUAAUGUCUGGGAACCUGCCCGAUGGAGGGGGAUAACUACUGGAAACGGUAGCUAAUACCGCAUACCAUCGGAUGUGCCCAGAUGGGAUUAGCUAGUAGGUGGGGGAAAGGCUCACCUAGGCGACGAUCCCUAGCUGGGCUGAGAGGAUGACCAGCCAAACGGGAACGGAGACACGGUCCAGACUCCUACGGGAGGCAGCAGUGGGGAAUAUUGCACAAUGGGCGAAAGCCUGAUGCAGCCAGGCCGCGUGUAUGAAGAAGGCCUUCGGGUUGUAAAGCACUUUCAGCGAGGAGGCGUUACCCGCAGAAGAAGCACCGGCUAACUCCGUGCCAGCAGCCGCGGUAAUAC
rnacentral:rRNA from 1 species